rnacentral:rRNA from 1 species
AUUGAACGCUGGCGGCAUGCCUUACACAUGCAAGUCGAACGGCAGCACGGGAGCAAUCCUGGUGGCGAGUGGCGAACGGGUGAGUAAUGUAUCGGAACGUACCUUUCAGUGGGGGAUAACGUAGCGAAAGUUACGCUAAUACCGCAUAUUCUGUGAGCAGGAAAGCAGGGGAUCGCAAGACCUUGCGCUGAUUGAGCGGCCGAUAUCAGAUUAGCUAGUUGGUGAGGUAAAGGCUCACCAAGGCGACGAUCUGUAGCGGGUCUGAGAGGAUGAUCCGCCACACUGGAACUGAGACACGGUCCAGACUCCUACGGGAGGCAGCAGUGGGGAAUUUUGGACAAUGGGGGCAACCCUGAUCCAGCCAUGCCGCGUGAGUGAAGAAGGCCUUCGGGUUGUAAAGCUCUUUCAGCCGGGAAGAAAUCACAUGGGUUAAUACCCUGUGUGGAUGACGGUACCGGAAUAAGAAGCACCGGCUAACUACGUGCCAGCAGCCGCGGUAAUACGUGGGGUGCGAGCGUUAAUCGGAAUUACUGGGCGUAAAGCGUGCGCAGGCGGUUUGUUAAGAUAGGCGUGAAAUCCCCGGGCUCAACCUGGGAACUGCGUUUAUGACUGGCAGGCUAGAGUA